UCCAUGAGUUUACUCUGAGUUGACAGGCGAUGAUCUGACAGUUGGAGGUGUCUGGGUGUUUGGAGGUGGCCCCGUUCUCAUGUUGGCUGCUCAUCAGACAUUGAGUUUGGCCCCGGCGGUUCUACUACGUCACUACCUGGAAGCAAUUGCCUUUAACACUCUGCUGUUUGGGGUUUCGAUGCUUUUUAUGCUGCGUUGCGUGCUUUCAUUCCGGAAGAGCUAAGUGUCCUUUGCAGUCUCUCUGAGAAUGUUUUGUAAUUCUGCCGCCACGCUGUUCUGUGCGGACCGACCUCAAGAGGCUUGGGCCCCCGUGGGUGUCCCACUGCCUGCCGGCCCAGGGUACAGGCUGCUUGGGUCCGCUGGGCUGGCCUUGGGCUGUCAGAAUCUGGUCCAGGGUGUUUCGAGGGGACACUGCACAGCCGCUCGCCCCUCGACUCAGUCAUGGGAGCUGCAGCACGCAGAUCCACCGCAAGCUUCCUGCACGCGCAUCUCCGGAAUGCUGCGCUGGGCCCUCCCACCAUCUUCGCGUUUGUGAGAAUUUACUCAGAAGUGAGAGAACUGAAGAUUCCUGGUGCUUUUGUUAACACGUUUCUAUCUUAUUGGUUGGUGUGGAAAUGUUAGAUGUGUUGUUAGGUUUUUAAAUGCUGUGGGUGGUAUGAUUAAAGGGUUAAGUCCUCACCUCAGCCCCCAGCCCCCUUUUGGGGGGUAGGAAGAGGCUGAGUUAUCUCCUAUUUAAAACCUCCUUGGAUUUAAGUAGUUCAGAGUUAAAGCUAAAACACCAAAUAUUAACUCUUUCCCCCAAGUGUCUCCAGGAACUGGACGUUGGGGCCAUUCUUAUUCAGUUCUUUCUGUAGCUCCAAGGUCCUUAAAAUGAGUGAGUUGAUCCCAAGAACACCCCACAGCACCAACCAGCAGGGCACAGUGCAAGCGACUUCAUAGAUCGGGGUGCUCGUGUAGGGGUCCGGGGCUCCUUUGAACUCUGGGAGUUGUGUGCGCAGUCUUGGGUGGGAGACGGCAGGUCCCUCUGUCCCAAGAAGCUGGUGGUGCCAAGGCCUUCCUCUGUCUCCAUCAGUGCCAGCCUGAUCGCGUUCUGGAAGACCCAGUCUCAGACUCUGUGCCUUUAAAGUCCGGUCCUCAGUGUCCUUUCAGAAUCAUGUUGGGGCUGCGUUUCUCUGGGGAACUAAGCCUGUGCCAUUCCACAAGGCAGGCGUGGACCUCCAGCCUUGGAAGCUUUCUUUCCGCUCCUCAGCCCCUGACUUGUAAACUGUGAUGCCAUGCAGUCUGGAGCCGCGGGGGACGCACUCGGUCUCAUUGCGGAAAACACUUGGUUCCAGUCGUGUGGUUUCUCCCAUACCCUGACCAAGUCCACCUCUGCCAGGAUUGCAGGAGAUUGGUGCAAGACCCAUCUCUUAUGCAUUGACCAUGACCAUCAGCAAAGCCUGGUGGUCUUGUUCUCAUAGUCACUCGAGAAGAAUAUUUAUUGUAAUGGAAGUAGAUUUUUUAAAAAAGGAAUUGGAAUCAUGUCUUUGUAGAAUGUGUGUGUGUGAAGUCCUCAGCUGUAAGGUGCUAUUCAGUCCUGUGACCCUUAUUUUGGAAUGCUCUUCAUUACUGUUGCUCUGUUUUGUGACUUCCUGGGAAACCGCUUACUUUGGUGUGGUGUCACCUUGAGCUGUGCACAUAGGACACCAGUUUUGACUUAACCUAACAGGCAGUUUUUAUCUCUAGCUUUUUCAAGCCAGGUAUUGAGCAGUUUCUUGGCCAAUGGCCUGAGAAACCACCUGUCCCUGUCAAGGGGUGAUUUUAUUGGUUUUAAGUGGGGAAGUAAUCCCAUGUACUUAUUUCUUAAAUACCUAGGAAGUUCUUCUUGGUGGCUCCUCUUGGCCCUCCCCUCUUUCUCCCCCAACCCACCAUCCUGCAAGGCAAGGAAUGGCCUCUCCCUCCACAGAGGCAACGGCUGCAGAGGGAGCACUGUGGCUGCCAUCCCAGUUCCUCUUCAAAGCCAAACAGACACGCGUGACUCAAAUCCUACAGUAUGGAGGGUGGCGUUGCAUUGAAAUUCCAGGCCUGAGUUUGAUAGUGGAUUUUAAUGUAGUUGUUAAAGGUAUGAAUUCAUGUUUUAUAACUGUAGAGGCAAGCAAGUUUUUAUUUUUUAAAAAGUUUUGAGAGAAUAAUUUAUAAGUUUCUGUGCAGCAAAGUGGCUAAUUACUCAUUAAAUACAGGAAAAGAAUGUAGUAUCUAAAUCCAGCUUUUUCUUACCUCUGGUACACUUCAGAUUACUUACCUAAUACAUAUUGAGGGCUUUUAACCCUUAGUUUUAUCAAUUUUUCUAGUUUUAUUUUAUUUUUAUAAAAUAAUUGAAAAAGAACCAAAAAUGAAUUCAGAAGUUCCAUAGAUGGAUUUUUGCCCCUUCUUAAUUUUCUCCCACAAUGAAAACAUUUUAGAAGACAUUUUGAAUCAAAAUGUAUUAUGACCAUUGAAAGUUCUCUAUUUUCUAAGAAGCUGAGCAGCUCCAAGGGCCUCGUUUCAGGUGGUACUCUAUGUAUUGUCUGUGGGCUUGUUUCUACCUGUACAGUGGAACCAUGUGACCAUGUCUUGUGCUUGCAAUAUAGAAACCAUGCAGUGCUGUUUUGUGAAUUGGCAGUUUCUGUAUAAACUCUUAUUUAUAUACAUUGGCCUCUCUGUAUGAUUUUCCAUUUGCUACAUGAAUUGUAAAAUUAAUUAUAAAAUUAUAGUACCUGCUAAAUACAAUUCUGAGGCUUCAUGUCAUUGUCUUUAGUUGAAUACCAUGCUGUGUGUCUUGAAGAUGUCCACGCUUGCAUGAUGCUAGGUGGCAAUGCCACUUUAAAUUAAGCCUUAAUCAGAUGUUAAAUUUGUGAGUUUCAGAGUAUGCAAAAAUAUUAGGCAGAGUGAGUGUAAACUGUUCAGAUCAAGAUGCUGUAUCAUAAUUCAAGUUAUUUUUUUCUGGAGUUAAAGGGAAGCAUUCAGUGAUACACCUCUCUCUCUCUCUCUCUCUCUCCCCCUCUCCCCCCUCCCCCUCCCUCUCUCUGUCUCUGUCUCUGUCUCUCUCUCUCUCUCUUGUCUAGCUUGGCUAUGGCCAUAGCUUGAUGAAAAUGGACCAUUGUGCAUUUCUGUGACAGUCAAAAAGACCUGUUCUAAAAGUCUUGCGACUUUUUCAGGGUUUUUUUUUUUUUUCAUGUUUCUUUUUUUUUUUCCCCUCCAGUCUGAGAUUUCUGUGUGGCUGAUGGAGAGUGUGAUUUGGGCGUAGGUCUUAUUUGCAAACCUGCUCAUGUUCUAAGCUUUCUUCAGGUAGUACCACCUGUCAUCGCUUCUGCAUAUGAUUUAAAUGGAUUUUUGUUUUUAUAAAAGUAUCAUAAAUUUAGAGAUAAAAUGGAGGGGACCCAGCUUUCUUUACAAUGUGGAUCUACCUCAGUUAAACAGUUGGGUGCUAUUACUAAGUCUGUCAAAUUAAAUUGGAAAAAGUAACCAAACAGUGAGAUACAACUCCACAUGAAACUUGAAAUUGUAAUUUCCGUUUAUUUAAUGAUAUUUUUAUUUAUUUGUGCCUUUUAUGUUGAACCCCAAUGCAUUGAAAAAAUUCAGUAUGAAACAGUACAUAUUUUAUUUAUAUUACAGGUGGGAGAAAAGUCCAAUUGGUCAUGGAAUUUGAUAGACUUUUCCCCAGCCAACUGCUACAGUGUAUUAUAAUCCCGACUGCCCCCCUGUG
rnacentral:lncRNA from 1 species